rnacentral:rRNA from 1 species
UACGAAGGGGGGCUAGCGUUGCUCGGAAUCACUGGGCGUAAAGCGCACGUAGGCGGCUUUCUAAGUCAGGGGUGAAAUCCUGGAGCUCAACUCCAGAACUGCCUUUGAUACUGGAGAGCUUGAGUCCGGGAGAGGUGAGUGGAACUCCGAGUGUAGAGGUGAAAUUCGUAGAUAUUCGGAAGAACACCAGUGGCGAAGGCGGCUCACUGGUCCGGUACUGACGCUGAGGUGCGAAAGCGUGGGGAGCAAACAGG